rfam:Brassica napus, WGS project CCCW01000000 data, contig: 12320
GAAAUAUAAGAACCCGUCUCUUAACUUUUAACUAAAACAAACUAUGAACCGGUUCUUAAAUAUCUUAGUUUUAAAAACCGGUUCUUAAAUAUUUAAGAACCGGUUCUUAGUUUUUUUAGUUAAAAGUUAAGAGACGGGUUCUUAUAUUUC